GGAUGAAUGCUGGCGGUGUGCCUUAAGCAUGCAAGUUGAACGGUAAAUUAGUCUUCGGACUAAUACAAGUAGCAGACGGGUGAGUACAACAUAGGAACUUACCCUCAAGUGGGGAAUAGCCAGUCGAAAGAUUGGGUAAUACCGCAUGUGAUCUACGGAUCAAAGCCUUCGGGCGCUUGAGGAGAGGCCUGUGUCCUAUCAGGUAGUUGGUGAGGUAAUAGCUCACCAAGCCUACGACGGGUAGCCGGUGUGAGAGCACGACCGGCCACAAGGUUACUGAGAUACGGAACCUACACCUACGGGUGGCAGCAACUGGGAAUAUUGCGCAAUGGGCGAAAGCCUGACGCAGCGACACCGCGUGUGGGAAGACGCUCUUCGGAGUGUAAACCACUGUGGCAGGGGAACAAUUUUCGAGGGUACCCUGCUAGAAAGCACCUGCUAACUACGUGCCAGAAGCCUCGGUAAUACGUAGGGUGCAAGCAUUAUCCGGAUUUAUUGGGCGUAAAGCGUCCGUCGGCGUUUUAUCAAGUUUUGACUUUAAUACUGGAGCUUAACUCCAGAUACAGGCUGAAAUACUGAUAGAAUUGAGUUUACUAGGGGGAGCUGGAAUUCUCGGUGGAGGGGUGAAAUCCGUAGAUAUCGAGAGGAACACCAUUCGCGAAGGCGGGCUCCUGGAGUAUAACUGACGCUCAGGGACGAAAGUUUGGGUAGCAAAAGGGAUUAGAGACCCCUGUAGUCCAAACCGUAAACGAUCCUUGCUAAUUGCUUGAUUCUUCGAAUUGAGUGAUGUAAGCUAACGCGUUAAGCAAGGCGCCUGGGGAUUACGACCGCAAGGUUA
rnacentral:rRNA from 1 species